UUUUUAUUUAAAAUUGUUGAUUUAUAAAUAUUAAAAAUUUGUUUACAUUAAUACAUAAAUAUAAAUUAAGGUUAACUGAAUCCUAUAGCGAUAAUUUACAUCCAUAGUAAUUCUAAAAUUGAGAAAGAAUAAAACAACUGAAGUAAUAGCUUUUUUUUAUCAUCAUUUUAGAGUAGAAAAUCAUAAUUGCAAAGUACAAGAAACAUAGAAAAGAAAAAAUAUAAAAAGUUUAAGGUGCUUGUACAAUAAUUAAAUGACAGUUUAUGAAACAUUUUGCUACCGUUAGAAGGGCUAGAGCGGAUAACUAAAAAUACAAAAGUUGUCCAUGCAUAUAAUAGUUACACCUUUAUGAACAGUUCUUGGGCAAUCAUCAUCGAUUUCACAUUUAAUACGAGCUCCUGUAAUGAAAAUUGAUGAUAAAAUAAUGUUAUGGAAACAUGAUAAAAGAUUAUGAGCAGACUAUUAAUUAAAUGAUAAAUCUAAAAUAAAUAAAAAAUAAUGACGUACCAAUCUUUUCUGUUGAGAUAAGUACUAAGGAACAAAAUAAAAUCAAAAUAAAAAAAAGUUUGAGAAUUUCAGAAUAUAGUUUGUCUCUAUUACUUAAGAAUUUCAUGCUUUUUUUUAAAUAAUUAAAUUGUAGUACUUUGCACUUUUAAUUUGUAAGAGCUCUUUAUAUAUUGAUAAUUACUACUAGUGUGUUGUGUUUGUUUUUUAAUUCAUUAUAUGAGAAGAUCACAAAUAAUAAUACUAAAGAAAUCUUUAAUCUUUAAACAUAAUUAAGGGAAAUUUGUCUUUUUAUGCCUUUCAUUAAUCUUGAUUUUUUUAUUACUUUUUAACCUUUCAUGAUAGUGAAAGAACAAUUUUCUAUUACUUAAGAAGUUCAUGCUUUUUUGUAAAUAAUUAAAUGAUAGACUUUACACUUUGAAUUUGUAAGAGCCUUUAUAUAUUGAUAAAAUAAUAAUAAUA
rnacentral:lncRNA from 1 species